CCACGCAGCCGGGGAGUUAGCGGUGUCCUGUACCUGCAAUCCGCUCUAGCAGGGGUGAUGUUCUUCCCAGGGUAUUUUAUUGUGAAGCAGCCUUUUAUAAGUGGCGUUGACGUUUGGGUCUUACGCAAUGGGAAUUCAUGAAUCGUGUCAGGUCAGGAAUGGAGCAGCACUAAGUGAAACCUCUCAUGUGCCGUGAGGGUGCCUGGACUGAGUUAACUGUAAGAGUAACGUUCAUGAGGAAUAUUCAAAGAAGAGCGCGUGG
rfam:Roseburia sp. CAG:303 genomic scaffold, scf428